AUUUACGAUGUGUGCAUUUUUGUGUGACUGUUAAGCUUCAGUAAAAUUUAUGUGUAAAAAAAGAGUUGAACAGAUUAUCAAAAAAAUUUUUUUAAUAUUUGAAGAGAUCCAUACACUAAAAGAAAACCAACAUACAUUUGGUCAAGGUAAUGGAUAACUUAAAAUUGGACGAAAACAGGAAAGAAAUUAAACAUCAUCGACCAUUCAAAAUACAUUUUCUCUUCCCAACCUCUGUGGCAAGAGAAUUCCCAGUUAAGGAAUAUAAAACCUAUGGAGGAGAGUAGGGUUACGAGGAUCAAGGCAGUGAGUGAAGUUAUCAACGCCCUUAUGAAUGUUUCCACAGUGGCUCCAUAUACAAGUAACCCUACAUGUUCAGGAAUUCUGGGCAAGGAAAUAACAUUCUUACACAAGCUCUUUAAGACCUGGUGAAAGACGGCAUACUAUUAUGGUAAAUGCUACUGAAAUACUUUGCUCCACAUAAACUUAGAUUUUACAGCAAUUAUAACAUUUAUUCAUAUUAUCACGGGAAACUGUGUGAGGAUCCACCUUGUGAUGUCCCCGUUUCCUAACGUUUGGGUGUCAACACAUCUUCUCUAAUUUUGCACUCCAAAUGGCCUCAUCCGAAAAGAAAUGUGGUGUACUGAGUAAUGAAGUACAUACACCGCAGGGAGAGAGUAAGGACGCCUCGCUGACCACGGCCUUAGUGCAAGCUCAACGUAAGCAGGCUCUCUGACUGCAGCCCUCAGACAGAACGAGAAGGGCCCUCCGCACUGAUGUGUCUAGCUUUCAAAUAGUCACUGCACCAGCCUCUUCCUCUACUGCUCCCUUUUCACAAUCCCAGCAGGGUUCACAGCUACUUCAACUGCAAAGGAACAAAAGGACCGCUUGGUGUAAAAACUACCGUAAUGACUCCCAACGCCGUAUUCCCCAACAGCCAAGGCUGAAAACAAAUGUUCCCUCAUCAAUAGAAAACAGAGCGUGCAAAGAGGAGGGGCAGAAACAACCUAACCAGCCUCUUCAGAGUUGGAAGAGUCCUCAAAGUCAUGGCUUUCAAGCCCCUCCUGCAGGAAGAAUUUCUCCCAAAACCUUCCUCAAAGACGAUGUCCAGCCUCUGCUCGAACACGUUCAAUAGCGACACGUCUUUAAGUUACAAGACAAUCUGUUCAAAAGGUAAAACA
rnacentral:lncRNA from 1 species